rnacentral:piRNA from 1 species
UGGGAAAGUUAAUCUGAAAUU